rnacentral:rRNA from 1 species
AGGAAUAUUGGUCAAUGGACGAGAGUCUGAACCAGCCAAGUAGCGUGAAGGAUGAAGGUUCUAUGGAUUGUAAACUUCUUUUAUACGGGAAUAAACGAAUCCACGUGUGGAUUUUUGCAUGUACCGUAUGAAUAAGGAUCGGCUAACUCCGUGCCAGCAGCCGCGGUAAUACGGAGGAUGCGAGCGUUAUCCGGAUUUAUUGGGUUUAAAGGGAGCGCAGACGGGUCGUUAAGUCAGCUGUGAAAGUUUGGGGCUCAACCUUAAAAUUGCAGUUGAUACUGGCGUCCUUGAGUGCGGUUGAGGUGUGCGGAAUUCGUGGUGUAGCGGUGAAAUGCUUAGAUAUCACGAAGAACUCCGAUUGCGAAGGCAGCACACUAAUCCGUAACUGACGUUCAUGCUCGAAAGUGUGGGUAUCAAACAGGAUUAGAUACCCUGGUAGUCCACACGGUAAACGAUGGAUACUCGCUGUUGGCGAUAUACUGUCAGCGGCUUAGCGAAAGCGUUAAGUAUCCCACCUGGGGAGUACGCCGGCAACGGUGAAACUCAAAGGAAUUGACGGGGGCCCGCACAAGCGGAGGAACAUGUGGUUUAAUUCGAUGAUACGCGAGGAACCUUACCCGGGCUUAAAUUGCAAAGGAAUAAUCUGGAAACAGGUUAGUCUUCGGACCUUUGUGAAGGUGCUGCAUGGUUGUCGUCAGCUCGUGCCGUGAGGUGUCGGCUUAAGUGCCAUAACGAGCGCAACCCUCGCCGCCAGUUACUAACAGUUAAAGCUGAGGACUCUGGCGGGACUGCCAUCGUAAGAUGUGAGGAAGGUGGGGAUGACGUCAAAUCAGCACGGCCCUUACGUCCGGGGCUACACACGUGUUACAAUGGGCGGUACAGAAGGCAGCUACCUGGCGACAGGAUGCCAAUCCCUAAAGCCGCUCUCAGUUCGGACUGGAGUCUGCAACCCGACUCCACGAAGCUGGAUUCGCUAGUAAUCGCGCAUCAGCCACGGCGCGGUGAAUACGUUCCCG